rnacentral:rRNA from 1 species
UACGUAGGGUGCAAGCGUUACUCGGAAUUACUGGGCGUAAAGCGUGCGCAGGCGGUUUUGUAAGACUGUCGUGAAAUCCCCGGGCUUAACCUGGGAAUGGCGAUGGUGACUGCAAGGCUAGAGUUUGGCAGAGGGGGGUAGAAUUCCACGUGUAGCAGUGAAAUGCGUAGAUAUGUGGAGGAGCACCGAUGGCGAAGGCAGCCCCCUGGGCUAACACUGACGCUCAGGCACGAAAGCGUGGGGAGCAAACAGG